rnacentral:rRNA from 1 species
UGGGGGAUAUUGCACAAUGGGGGAAACCCUGAUGCAGCGACGCCGCGUGGAGGAAGACGGUUUUCGGAUUGUAAAUUCCUGUCUCCGGGGACGAUAAUGACGGUACCCGGGGAGGAAGCACCGGCUAACUACGUGCCAGCAGCCGCGGUAAUACGUAGGGGGCAAGCGUUGUUCGGAAUUACUGGGCGUAAAGCGCACGCAGGCGGCGUGACGCGUCAGAAGUGAAAUCCCCGGGCUCAACCUGGGAACUGCUUUUGAAACGGUCAUGCUUGAAUCAUGGAGAGGGUAGCGGAAUUCCGAGUGUAGAGGUGAAAUUCGUAGAUAUUCGGAAGAACACCGGUGGCGAAGGCGGCUUACUGGACUGUAACUGACGCUGAGGCUCGAAAGCGUGGGGAGCAAACA